rnacentral:rRNA from 1 species
AGUCGAACGGGGUGCUUGCACCCAGUGGCGAACGGGUGAGUAACACGUACUUAAUCUACCUAUUAGUGGGGGACAACAAUUGGAAACGAUUGCUAAUACCGCAUAAUAUUAAUUUUGGCAUCAAGAUUAAUUAAAAGACGCGUUUGCGUCGCUAAUAGAUGAGGGUGCGGCGUAUUAGCUAGUUGGUAAGGUAACUGCUUACCAAGGCAAUGAUACGUAGCCGAACUGAGAGGUUGAUCGGCCACAUCGGGACUGAGACACGGCCCGAACUCCUACGGGAGGCAGCAGUAGGGAAUUUUCCACAAUGGGCGAAAGCCUGAUGGAGCAAUGCCGCGUGAUUGAAGAAGGCCUUCGGGUCGUAAAGAUCUGUUAUUAGGGAAGAAUAGUUAAUAUAGGAAAUGCUAUUAAUUUGACGGUACCUAAUCAGAAAGCCACGGCUAACUAUGUGCCAGCAGCCGCGGUAAU